rnacentral:misc_RNA from 1 species
GACAGCAGCAAUAUGCUUGAAUUUAUAUUUGGAACUGACCCGGUAGUUGUCACCUCUAAUGAACUGGUAAGUGUGAUCGAAUACUUUUACGAAGAGGAUGGAGACCCAUAUGGAGACCCAUUUAUGACAACUGUCCAAAGUGUCACACAGUUCAGAAACUCAUACAGCUUUAUGACAGGGACAAUAAAUGGAAAUUUCAUUAACAGAAAUGUGACAAUUGUUAUCACAUUAAAGAAAACUUACACCAAUCAAUUGUUGAUACAUAACAAAGGAGGACAGAUUGUAAAGACAGUCGUAAUUAAUACCAAACAAGUUGAAGACUAUCAGCUAUUGGUUAUGAAUAUUAGCUACGACGAGUUCUAUACAAUAAGACAUCCUGAUAAUAAAGAGUUUGGGCUUCUGAUCUAUGGACUUCCACAUGAAUAUAUUGGAUACGGUUACCCCGUAGCAAUGAGCUUCAGUAAGAGUGAUACUUCAGUUGAUGAUAUAUGGUGUUUUGACUGCAUUGACAUGAGCCAUUUGAAAUAUUGCGACAAAGUAACAAAGUGCUCAUCCAGAGACCAGGUUUGUUUUGUUCACAGUUAUAUGAGAAGUCUAGAUGUAAAACUAUACAGAUCGGGAUGCAUCGACAAGAAGGGCUUGUAGUUCUUAUGGACAAUCAAGUUGCGUAACAUGUUGUAACGAUAGUUUCUGCAAUACACAAGGAUGUGGAGAUAAUGGUAUACAUGACAUUCAAAAUCGGGGUCCAAUGUGCUUUGACUGUAACCAUCGAGGAGAAAAAGACUCGUGUCGAACCCUGCAGUUCUGUGCCCCAGACGAGACUUGUAUAAUAGAAAAGUACAGAUGGGGUGCGGAUGAUUAUCACUAUGUGCAAGGAUGUUCAGCGGGAUGUGGUCUGUCAAUGAAAUAUCCAAGAGAUGCAAAUGAAAAACAUACAAGACAUGUACCGACAUGCACACAUUGUUGCUCAUCUGACUUUUGUAAUACAAAUUGUACAGAAUCCGCAGUACCUGCCAUUAUCGGAUGAAACGAUACGCUACAAAUGUCAUUUGGUGGAAGUCAUUAAUCAUAAUUACGCAUGUAUAGCAAAUAGUUUCUUUCAGUAAAUCUUUAAACACA